UACGUAGGGUGCAAGCGUUGUCCGGAAUUAUUGGGCGUAAAGAGCUCGUAGGCGGCUUGUCGCGUCUGCCGUGAAAGUCCGGGGCUCAACUCCGGAUCUGCGGUGGGUACGGGCAGACUAGAGUGAUGUAGGGGAGACUGGAAUUCCUGGUGUAGCGGUGAAAUGCGCAGAUAUCAGGAGGAACACCAAUAGCGAAGGCAGCUCGCUGGGACGUUACUGACACUGAGGCGCGAAAGCGUGGGGAGCGAACAGG
rnacentral:rRNA from 1 species